GUAGCUGUAGUUUAAGCAAAACAUUAGAUUGUGGAUCUAACAAUAGAAGCCUUCAAUUUCUUAUCUACC
rnacentral:tRNA from 2 species